rnacentral:rRNA from 1 species
GAGUUUGAUCCUGGCUCAGAACGAACGCUGGCGGCGUGCUUAACACAUGCAAGUCGAACGUGAUCCGGAGCUUGCUCCGGUGAAAGUGGCGCACGGGUGAGUAACGCGUGGAUAAUCUGCCCUGGUAUYUGGGAUAACAUCUCGAAAGGGGUGCUAAUACCGGAUAAGCCCACGGGAUCCUCGGAUUYUGCGGGAAAAGGUGGCCUCUAUUUAUAAGCUACCGUAUCAGGAUGAGUCCGCGUACCAUUAGCUAGUUGGUGGGGUAAUGGCCCACCAAGGCUACGAUGGUUAGCUGGUYUGAGAGGAUGAUCAGCCACACUGGAACUGAGACACGGUCCAGACUCCUACGGGAGGCAGCAGUGGGGAAUAUUGCGCAAUGGGSGAAAGCCUGAMGCAGCAACGCCGCGUGAGUGAUGAAGGCCUUCGGGUCGUAAAGCUCUGUCAGAGGGGAAGAAUGCAAUAGAUUCGAACAGGGUCUGUUGUUGACGGUACCUUCAGAGGAAGCACCGGCUAACUCCGUGCCAGCAGCCGCGGUAAUACAAGGGCGAMUKSK